GAAUGGGGCGAGGGCAGAGAUUUGACUGUUGCCUCCUUUUGCGUUUUGAUGGGGUAGGGGUGGAGGAUGCUUGCUGUGUCCCCAGCACUGAACUGAUGGAAAAUUUGGACGUUCUGUUCGCAGGUGGUGCAGGGGAUGUUGUACCAUGUGGAGAUGGUGCUGGGCCGGACUACCUGCAAGAAGGCAAUGGGAAGAAAUGUCAACCUUGAGAGUUGCAGCCUCCAGGCGGAUCAGCAGAACGGCGCGAUGCCAGUCUGUACAUUCCAAGUCUGGGAUCAGGCAUGGAUUCCUUCGAAGGAGGUGAGCGGAUUUAGCUGCGUACUCUGAACUCCAUCUCGUCUCCGUACAGGCCAGAACAGAAGAAUGCUUCGCAAAAUGCAUUAAUAAGAAAUCACCGUCUCAGAUCUGAGGGAGUCAAGAGUGUCGCUGCAAUAGGUGUGACUGUUCUGACACAUCACCUGCACCUGGGCAAACACCAUGUAAUAUUAGACAGUUCUGUCUCUUUCAGGGGAAACACUGCUGCAACUAACAUACACAGUUAUAUCAACUGCUUCCAGCUUUGUUUCAAGCUCUUUGAGCAGUGCCGAAGUCAACUCUGAUCUAACAACAUGACAGUGUACUAAACUUGGGCGGAUGGAGUCUCCUUUGGGGCUCAGCACAUCCACUGCUGCUUGCUCGGUAGCUAUCCAGUUGUAAGCACACUGUUACAUAUUUAUAUUCAUUACCCAAAUAAACUUACUUCCGAGUAUAAUCAAAUGCA